rnacentral:rRNA from 1 species
UGAAAAUUGAAACGACACACAGUUAAUGUGUGUUCGAGUCUCUCAAAUUUUCGCAAUCAGAAGUGAAACAUCUUCGGGUUGUGAGGNCACUAUCGUUAACUGAAUACAUAGGUUAACGAGGCGAACCGGGGGAACUGAAACAUCUAAGUACCCCGAGGAAAAGAAAUCAACCGAGAUUCCCCCAGUAGCGGCGAGCGAACGGGGAGCAGCCCAGAGUCUGAAUCAGCUUGUGUGUUAGUGGAACGGUCUGGAAAGUCCGACGGUACAGGGUGAUAGUCCCGUACACCAAAAUGCACAGGCUGUGAACUCGAAGAGUAGGGCGGGACACGUGGUAUCCUGUCUGAAUAUGGGGGGACCAUCCUCCAAGGCUAAAUACUCCUGACUGACCGAUAGUGAACCAGUACCGUGAGGGAAAGGCGAAAAGAACCCCGGCGAGGGGAGUGAAAAAGAACCUGAAACCGUGUACGUACAAGCAGUGGGAGCACCUUCGGGUGUGACUGCGUACCUUUUGUAUAAUGGGUCAGCGACUUAUAUUCUGUAGCAAGGUUAACCGUAUAGGGGAGCCGCAGGGAAACCGAGUCUUAACUGGGCGUUAAGUUGCAGGGUAUAGACCCGAAACCCGGUGAUCUAGCCAUGGGCAGGUUGAAGGUUGGGUAACACUAACUGGAGGACCGAACCGACUAAUGUUGAAAAAUUAGCGGAUGACUUGUGGCUGGGGGUGAAAGGCCAAUCAAACCGGGAGAUAGCUGGUUCUCCCCGAAAGCUAUUUAGGUAGCGCCUCGUGAAUUCAUCUUCGGGGGUAGAGCACUGUUUCGGCUAGGGGGUCAUCCCGACUUACCAACCCGAUGCAAACUACGAAUACCGAAGAAUGUUAUCACGGGAGACACACGGCGGGUGCUAACGUCCGUCGUGAAGAGGGAAACAACCCAGACCGCCAGCUAAGGUCCCAAAGUCAUGGUUAAGUGGGAAACGAUGUGGGAAGGCACAGACAGCCAGGAUGUUGGCUUAGAAGCAGCCAUCAUUUAAAGAAAGCGUAAUAGCUCACUGGUCGAGUCGGCCUGCGCGGAAGAUGUAACGGGGCUAAACCAUGCACCGAAGCUGCGGCAGCGACACUAUGUGUUGUUGGGUAGGGGAGCGUUCUGUAAGCCUGCGAAGGUGACCUGUGAGGGUUGCUGGAGGUAUCAGAAGUGCGAAUGCUGACAUAAGUAACGAUAAAGCGGGUGAAAAGCCCGCUCGCCGGAAGACCAAGGGUUCCUGUCCAACGUUAAUCGGGGCAGGGUGAGUCGACCCCUAAGGCGAGGCCGAAAGGCGUAGUCGAUGGGAAACAGGUUAAUAUUCCUGUACUUGGUGUUACUGCGAAGGGGGGACGGAGAAGGCUAUGUUAGCCGGGCGACGGUUGUCCCGGUUUAAGCAUGUAGGCUGGUUAUCCAGGCAAAUCCGGAUAAUCAAGGCUGAGGUGUGAUGACGAGGCACUACGGUGCUGAAGUAACAAAUGCCCUGCUUCCAGGAAAAGCCUCUAAGCAUCAGGUAACAUCAAAUCGUACCCCAAACCGACACAGGUGGUCAGGUAGAGAAUACCAAGGCGCUUGAGAGAACUCGGGUGAAGGAACUAGGCAAAAUGGUGCCGUAACUUCGGGAGAAGGCACGCUGGUGUGUAGGUGAAGUCCCUGCGGAUGGAGCUGAGACCAGUCGAAGAUACCAGCUGGCUGCAACUGUUUAUUAAAAACACAGCACUGUGCAAACACGAAAGUGGACGUAUACGGUGUGACGCCUGCCCGGUGCCGGAAGGUUAAUUGAUGGGGUUAUCCGUAAGGAGAAGCUCUUGAUCGAAGCCCCGGUAAACGGCGGCCGUAACUAUAACGGUCCUAAGGUAGCGAAAUUCCUUGUCGGGUAAGUUCCGACCUGCACGAAUGGCGUAAUGAUGGCCAGGCUGUCUCCACCCGAGACUCAGUGAAAUUGAACUCGCUGUGAAGAUGCAGUGUACCCGCGGCAAGACGGAAAGACCCCGUGAACCUUUACUAUAGCUUGACACUGAACAUUGAGCCUUGAUGUGUAGGAUAGGUGGGAGGCUUUGAAGCGUGGACGCCAGUCUGCGUGGAGCCAACCUUGAAAUACCACCCUUUAAUGUUUGAUGUUCUAACGUUGGCCCCUUACCGGGGUUGCGGACAGUGUCUGGUGGGUAGUUUGACUGGGGCGGUCUCCUCCCAAAGCGUAACGGAGGAGCACGAAGGUUAGCUAAUCCUGGUCGGACAUCAGGAGGUUAGUGCAAUGGCAUAAGCUAGCUUGACUGCGAGCGUGACGGCGCGAGCAGGUGCGAAAGCAGGUCAUAGUGAUCCGGUGGUUCUGAAUGGAAGGGCCAUCGCUCAACGGAUAAAAGGUACUCCGGGGAUAACAGGCUGAUACCGCCCAAGAGUUCAUAUCGACGGCGGUGUUUGGCACCUCGAUGUCGGCUCAUCACAUCCUGGGGCUGAAGUAGGUCCCAAGGGUAUGGCUGUUCGCCAUUUAAAGUGGUACGCGAGCUGGGUUUAGAACGUCGUGAGACAGUUCGGUCCCUAUCUGCCGUGGGCGCUGGAGAAUUGAGGGGGGCUGCUCCUAGUACGAGAGGACCGGAGUGGACGCAUCACUGGUGUUCGGGUUGUCAUGCCAAUGGCACUGCCCGGUAGCUAAAUGCGGAAGAGAUAAGUGCUGAAAGCAUCUAAGCACGAAACUUGCCCCGAGAUGAGUUCUCCCUGAGACUUUAAGUCUCCUGAAGGAACGUUAAAGACGAUGACGUUGAUAGGCCGGGUGUGUAAGCGCAGCGAUGCGUUGAGCUAACCGGUACUAAUGAACCGUGAGGCUUAACC